rnacentral:tRNA from 1 species
GGAAUGUGGCUCAAGUGGUAGCAUGCUCGCCUAACAUGUGUGAGGAACUGGGUUCGAUUCUCAGCACCA